CCAGAGGGCCACAGCUGUCCUCAAGGCACCAGAUCCCAUCUGAACUUGAGAACUAAGUAGGGCCAGCUCUGGUCAAUCCUUGGACAGGAGUCUACAAACAAAUACUAGAUGCUGUAGGCU
rnacentral:rRNA from 11 species